rnacentral:lncRNA from 1 species
AGCUGCAAUAGAGGAACAAGUGCUGAGCCGACUCAACCUCCCCGCAACCAAAAACACAAAGAUGCGCCUCCGUAGAUAAAAUCCCUCGAGUGACCAGGUUUGCUUUUGUAGGUAACCUGUCCCGCAAGAGUCGCCAUGCACAAAUGGAAACCUUCAAAGGAACCUGACGGUGCCAGAUAAGACCUGACGCAGCAUCCAGAGUAACGUCAUCCUGACUCGUCAAGAGCUGAUAAGCACCACGAACCGUGUAACCGUCAUCAAGGUCAGUUCGCCACUGCCACCUGUCUGAAACAUGAUCCUGCAAAGAGAUGGUAAGUAGAAAAGCCUGACACUCCCCCAACAACUCCUCCUCCCACGCCCUCAGCUGAC